GUCCCUAAGGGUAUACACACGUUAUGUACACACACACACACAAAUGGUAUAUAAAAAUAUACACAAAUAAUAUGCACAAAUAGUAUAGUUUAUCUCUGCAAUAAGAAUCACAUUUAUUUUCAUGUUUGACAGAGUGGAUUAUAAUGGUUAUAAUAGCUAACUUUUUUAUUAGUGUGCUAAUUUGUACAUAAUAAGUGCAUAUUUUGUGUGCAUUAUAUCAUUUAUUCCCCAUAGUCACCUUCGAAGUAAGUACAAUUUUUAUUCCUGUUGCAUAGGUGAGAAAACAUAUUGAGGUGAACUAACUCAACAAAGGUUAUAUGACUAGUCAGUUUUAAACUAGAUUUAAUAUCAGUCCUUGACUUCUUAACUACUAUGUGUUACUAACUUGGAAGAUGACUUUAAAAUAUGGUUGACCCUCAACCAGCAUGGUGGUUUGGGCCACUGACCCUCCCUGCAGUCAAAAAGCCACCUGUAAUUUAUAAUCAGCCCUCCAUAUCUGUGGUUCCUCCAUACCCAUAGGUCUACAUCUGCAGAUUCAACCAACCGUGGAUCAUGUAGUACUAUAGUCUUUGCUGUUGCAAAAAUCUGCAUUUAAGUGGAUCCAUGUAGUUCAAACCUGUGUCCUGAUUCAACUAUAUAUCCGAAGUCUUUAUAUUUAAAACAGUAUUUUUUGAAAAGCUGUAGGCAGGCAGCUGUAGCUCCGAUUUGACCCCUAGCUUGAGAACUUCCAUAUGCCAUGGUUCAGCUCUAAAAAGCAAAAAAAAAAAACAAAAAAAAAACAACAAAAAAACUACCUCUAGCUUUCUCUCCUUUAGUCCAUAUUCUAUCUUUUGCUGAAGUUAUUUCCCAAACAUAAAUCUAGUUAUGUCAUGACCUUGAUUAAAAACCUUAAGGGGUGCCUUUUCAUUUUGGCUUGUAUAAAAUAUUCAGUCUGGCACAUGGGCCUUUUAUCUUUACUCUUUUACUUCAACUUGGACCUCCAGCCUCAUCUCUCAUUACUCUCUCAAGACCCUUAUAUAUUGUGUUGAAGCUCAUCCAACUGCUUCCUCUUCAAGAUUGUAUUGUACUUCUUCAGGUCUUGCCUUUACACAAGUGCUAUCUUGUAUAUAAUGCCUCUUGCCUUGCCUUUUCAUCGCCCCCACAACCUGAAAGAACCUGGUACAAGUCCUGAUUCAGGUGUAACUUUCGAUCAUAUCAUCCUAAUCCUCCUCAAGCAGAAUUAAUUUGCUCCAUCUUAGUUAAUGGCACAUACAUCUAUCUUUUAUCAUCAUAUAAGGUGAUUAUCUCUGCUUUUAGUGUCUAUCUACCCUCAAGGUUAUGAAGUGCUUGCCUUGUUUGUGUUUUCAAAUCUAGCCCAAGCCAUAGUAGAUGCACAUCAAAGGUAUAUUGUGGUCAUUCAGAAUAUAGGCUUGGCAGAGGCAAGCCUGGGUUGAAAUAAGGGCUUUGCAACCAAAAGGAAUGGUAUGGAGAAAUGUGUGGAGAAAGGGAAAGCAUUGAGAAGGAAGGAACAUGGGCAGUGGCAAGUCUGGAUAUUUUUCACAGCCUGGUUGGCCACUGUUAGGGUAAGGUAAUACCUCAAAAUCUACUGAAAACCCAACUGGGAGGCAUAGAAAUUCGAUAAGCCAAUAUUUUUACUAAAUAACUUGAUAUAUAUGUGGCUUUUUGCUAUACAAGUACUAGGAGUAUGAAGAUGAGGAAGAAAAGGACUCUGCCUUUGAAAACAUUCAAAGUGAACAGGGAAGAUAGACAUGUAAGUAAAUAAAUAUAAUAUCAUCUAUGAAUAUACAUUAAUAAAUUAAUUGUGAGGAAUAGUAACCACUUACGAUGUGAAUCUCUCCAGGCAGAAAUCCUCCAGUUUAAAGGGAUGCCCUAGCAAAGUUUUAAAGUAUGGAUUGGAAUUCUACAGAUGGAUAAGUUGGUAAGAGCUUGAUAGAUUGAGAACAGCAUGUACUAAGGCAUGAGGAACAAAAGCAGCAAAAGUAGGAAAACCCUUGAUUGUAAGAUUUCAUGCAUAUGCUUAUAUAUUUUAGGAAGCCUUACAAAGCAGCCUUCACUACGAUACCGUAGAUAACACCUAACUUAAAUAUUUAAAUACGCUCUCUUGAAACAAUCCUAUUACAUCAAUUUAUUUGUUAUCCUUUCCCUUUGAAGUAUAAAAUGCAUAGGAGCAUAAACUUUGGAGGUCAAACUUUGAGUUCAAAUUCUGAAAUACUUAGUAUCUCUAAAAAUCACUUUACCCUUUUAUAAAAGGUGGUUAUUAACUCUACCUACUUCACAGGGUUUUUAGGAAGAUUCAGAGAGAAUGUGUGCCAAGUUGUUGGCACAGUGCCUGGUCCAUAAGAAAGUCUUGGUAGGACACCAUAAAUGCUAACUGUAUUGUGGCACCUGAUAAGCCUUUAAAAAAGUCAUUUAUUUAAGAAGUUAUUUAUUGAUUGCUUACUAUUUAUUAGGCGCUGGAAUUACAAAGACAAGUAAGGCAGAACCUCUGUUCUUGAAGAAUUUAGAAUUUAGUGAGUACUGUGCAUUGCAAUGUACUACAUUUUGAGAAUCAACAAUUAACAACCUAGAAAAUGCUUUGGCAGGGGUGGGGGCAGUAUAAGCAAAAAAUAACCGAGAGAAGAGGCACCCAAAUCUCUUUUGGGGCAUUAUGAAAGUAUUUAUUAGGAAGACUGACUGGAUGAAGAACAGUUUGCUGGUUUGGUGUUGGAGGAUAGAGAGGAGGGAAGCUUUUUUGGGGGAAAAAGGAAGAACAUAUCCAAGAGGAAGGCUAAGGUAACUUAACUCAAUCAGAGGAAGACAAAUAAUAGAAAAACCUCUAAAAGAAAAAAGGGGAAUCCUUGUGGCUCAGCAGUAAUGAACCUGACUAGAAUCCAUGAGGACGUGUGUUUGACCCCUGGUCUCGCUAAGUGGGUUAAGGAUUCAGCAUUGGUGGCCAUGAGCUGUGGUGUAGGUUGCAGACUGGCUUGUAUCCUGUGUUGCUGUGGCUGUGGUAUUGGCCAGUGGCUACAGCUCCCAUCGACCCCUAGCAUGGGAACCUCCAUAUGCUGUGGGUGCAGCCCUAAAAAGACAAAAAAAAAAAAAAAAAAAAAAAAAAAAAA
rnacentral:lncRNA from 1 species